GAGAUUGUGGCUCAGUGGUGAAGCGCUUGUCUAGCACAUAGGAGGCCCUGGGUUCAAUGCUCAGCACCACA
rnacentral:tRNA from 1 species